CAUGGAGUCUCACUCCCUGGAGUGCUUUAAAGCUAAGAGAAACCAUCUGUCUGAGUGGAACCACUCAAUUUGACACCUGCUCUGAGGUCAUCUCCUCUUCAAUAUUGAGGACCUGUAGACACGCAAGUAUCCUGUUCAUCUGGAGAAGAUGGAGAACUAACAGAAGAGAAAAAUAAUGCAAGAUGCUUGCUGAAAGGACCCUGUGGUUUUGGACUUUCCCCUCCUGGUUCCUCUGACUUUCUUGAUUAUUGCCACCAUGCCUCACUUCAAAUUUAACAGCAGUGACACGGAUUCUCUACCUAAACUUAAAUACAGCAGUGAUACGGAUUCCUUACCUAAAUUUAAAUAUAACAGCGAUACAGACUCUCUUCCUCGCCUUCAUUUCAAUAGUGAUACAGACUCCGUACAUCAAUUUAAUUACAACAGUGAUACAGACUCCCUACGACGAUUUACUUUCAACAGCGAUACCGACUCUCUCCCUCGCUUUAAAUUCCACUUUGGAUCAAACUCCUCAGCUCACUUUAAUUUCGACAAUGGAGAGGACUCCCUCCAGGCCUGGGCCCUCUUCAACCUGGGAAAAGCAAACUUAGCGAAAGCCAUCUUUCAAAACAAACUAAAAAAGCUGAGUGAAGACAGUUUGACUAAGCAACCUGAAGAAGUCUUUGAUGUCUUGGAGAAGCUUGGUGAGGGAUCUUAUGGAAGUGUAUUUAAAGCCAUACAUAAGGAAUCUGGUCAAGUGGUGGCAAUUAAGCAAGUUCCUGUUGAGUCAGAUCUUCAGGAAAUCAUCAAAGAAAUUUCUAUCAUGCAGCAAUGUGACAGCCCCUAUGUUGUAAAGUACUAUGGAAGUUACUUUAAGAAUACUGACCUUUGGAUUGUUAUGGAAUACUGCGGAGCUGGCUCUGUUUCAGACAUAAUUCGAUUACGGAAUAAGACAUUAACUGAAGAAGAAAUUGCAACUAUUCUUAAAUCUACUUUGAAAGGUCUUGAAUAUUUACAUUUCAUGAGAAAAAUACAUCGAGAUAUAAAGGCAGGAAACAUUCUCCUCAAUACAGAAGGACAUGCAAAAUUAGCAGAUUUUGGAGUGGCUGGGCAAUUAACUGAUACAAUGGCAAAACGCAAUACGGUUAUUGGAACUCCAUUUUGGAUGGCUCCUGAAGUAAUACAAGAAAUUGGUUAUAACUGUGUGGCAGACAUCUGGUCCCUUGGUAUCACAUCUAUAGAAAUGGCUGAAGGAAAGCCACCUUAUGCUGAUAUACAUCCAAUGAGGGCUAUUUUUAUGAUUCCCACAAAUCCACCACCAACAUUCCGGAAGCCAGAAUUUUGGACUGAUGAGUUCAAUGAUUUUGUCAAGAAGUGCUUAGUGAAGAAUCCUGAGCAGAGAGCCACAGCAACACAGCUUUUGCAGCAUCCUUUUAUCAAGAAUGCCAAAGCAGUAUCGAUUUUAAGAGACCUGAUUACAGAUGCUAUGGAAAUAAAGGCUAAAAGACAUGAAGAACAACAGAGAGAACUGGAAGAAGUGGAAGAAAAUUCGAACUAUGAUCUUUCCUCUGAGGACUGCUUUAGCUGCAUUCCAGAAACUUUGGAUGAAGAUGAAUUGGAUUCCCAUACCAUGGUGAAGAAUGCUUUGGAAAGUGUGAACACCAUGAGAGCUGCCAGCACGAUGAGUGAAGGAGCUCAGACCAUGAUUGAACAUAAUACCACCAUAUUAGAAAAUGAUUUGGGAACCAUGGUCAUAAAUAGUGAGGAUGAAGAAGAAGUCGAUGGAACCAUGAAAAGAAAUACAACUUCAUCACAAGCACAGAGACCAUCUUUUAUGGAUUAUUUCGACAAACAAGAUUUCAAAAAUAAGAGUCAAGAAAACUCUGAUAAAAACAUACAUGAACAGCAGGUUCCUGUGUCAAAAAACAUUUUUCCUGACAACUGGAAAGUUCCUCAAGAUGGAAACUUUGAUUUCAUUGGUGAUGCCUGGGAAUUUCUCAGAAGCAAUACCUCAUGUCACCUUAUUUGAAUGACCUACAUUUUGAACUCUUAAUCAUCAGAGUUAGAUGAAGAAUGUGAAUUUCCUUAACUUGGGAACUUUAACAUUUUCAUCAAGCUGAAAAACCUAAGUUUAGAAGAAUUACAAAUGCGUCUAAAGGCACUGGACCCAAUGAUGGAAAGAGAAAUUGAAGAGCUUCGUCAAAGUUAUAAUGCAAAAAGACAACCAAUCCUGGAUGCAAUGGAUGCAAAAAAACGAAGACAACAAAACUUUUGAGUUUAAUAUCUUCUCAGACAGCAUGUGUAGUUAGUUUAGAUGCCAGUAAACCAUUAUCAGUUGAAGGAA